UACAGAGGUCUCAAGCGUUUGUUCGGAUUCAUUGGGCGUAAAGGGUGCGUAGGUGGCGCCGUAAGUCAGGUGUGAAAUCUCGGGGCUUAACUCCGAAACUGCAUUUGAUACUGCGGUGCUUGAGGACUGGAGAGGAGACUGGAAUUACGGUGUAGCGGUGAAAUGCGUAGAUAUCGUAAGGAAGACCAGUGGCGGAAGGCGGGUCUC
rnacentral:rRNA from 1 species